ACCCCUUCCACAUUUCACUUCUCAACCCUUCACUCCCAUCAUUCUUAUCCUUUCACUUCCAUCAUUCUUAUGAUGGGAGGGGCUGAUGUACGGACCGUCUCUACUUCUUCAUUUUCACCAAUCUCCUCGUCGCCGUGGUAACCACCAACCUGGAGGAAAAGAUGGCCGACUAUGACGACAAGAACUCUUAAGAGUGUUCGCUGGCUAGCGGUAAGAUUAUACCGGAAGAUACGGGAGUCCUGAUGGACCAGGGCAGAGGUGGUGACCAAGACCAACAUGACCCGGCACCAGAAGACCUGGAAGAACCUGACCAUGGACACCUUGGGAGAAGCUGGCCCUUGCCAGCACAAGAGGUGAUGAUGAGGAACCAUAUGACUGCAACUCUCCAGGACAAACUAUGCAGAAGAACAUGGCUGCCUACAGGGAGAUAUGGCAGGAUAGUGGAGGGGGUGCACAGCCUGUCGUUCAACGUACAGCAAGAGGUGAUGAUGAGGAACCAUAUGACUGCAACUCUCCAGGA